rnacentral:lncRNA from 1 species
CCCUCCUCCUCAAGGCUCAUUGCUUGCCAGAAGAUGGGCUUUGUUUAAAUUGACAAGGAGGGCAGGGCUGGCGAGCUCCAGAGCAGAGGGUGCCAUGAGCCCUGGCAGGUGGGUCCGAGCCACAGGAGGAUCAGAGGCUUAUCUUGGAGCAGUAAGGAGGGGCUGUCCUGUGCUUAAAGAAAGGGGGCCAGAGAGAGUUGGCAUUGGAUUAGUGUUUCAGAAGAACGAAUGUGGUGGGUUGGGGAAUGCUCCUGAGUGCUCUAAAAAUCUAAAUGUCCAGUAAAAGAACAGUAAGUGCAUCCCCGCUUUGAUUGCUUGGAUUUGGAGCAGUAUUUGAUAACACAGAUCGUUAAUAGAGAUCUGUAGUGGUGCACAUCCUAAUUUUGUGUGUAUGUGCCGCUCCCUCAAGUGACCAUAAGCAGUUGUAAUUAACAUUUGCACUGGCUGAUCCCAUGCCUUGCACCAUGCACAGGUCUCCUUUCCAGUCCAUCGGCCCUCCCGUCUCCAAGGAUCUAUCCUUCAUUAAAGAUUGUGUGUUUGUUAAAUAUUUUCUCCUUUUCAUUCCUUUAUAAGUGCUCUAGGAAUACAUAGCCUACCCUGAGGAUGUAAUUCUUUGUAGAAACCCUUCAGAUAUGCUGUUCCCUGCCUGGAUACUCAGCGUCUGGGUCUUAUUCCUCAUCUUAGCUCAGUUGUUGCUUCCACAAGUCCCUUACUGACCCUCAGAAUAGCGGUGGUCUGUCCUCCGGUCUCCCUGGUACCCCCAUAGUCAUCCGUGCACAGUUUUGGACUUGAAAUCCUGUGAUUAGUUGUGUCAGCGGUGCCCUUUGCUGCCUUCCUUGUUAGAGUGUGCAACUCAGUCUUCACACGGUAUCUGUGGAACCAGGCAGCUGCAGGCAGAGCACAGGUAUCCAGAGAAUUUUGGACUGGAACUACAAUCCUGAGUUCUGAUGCCGUGCCUGAGGUGUGUGGAAUCACCAGAAAGUGUAUUCACGUAGAUAGAGGAAUUACAAGUCAACCUGUGUAAACAUGUUAGGUGGAGCUCUUUCAUAUGAAUGAUGCUGUAUUUUACCUUCUAAAUUGAGUGUUCAGUUGAGCAUCUUUUUUUUUUUUUUAGUAUUUAUUUUGAGUUGUGCACUUGAGUUUCUCUUUCAUGUUUGCGUGUGCAUUUUCUAGAAUGGCUUCAGUCAUCCAUCUUCUCUGGAGGCUGCAGACCAGCCAGAUCCACUACAGCUACAACGAGGAGAAAGAUGAGGACCACUGCAGCUCCCAGUGGGCACACCUGCCAGCAAAUCGCGACUGCUCCCACAGAUGGGCCCUGGGGGACCAUUCUCAGGCAUUUCUGCAAGCCAUUGCAGACAAUAACAUUCAGGAUCACAACGUGAAGGUGAGCUAGGCCUGUCCCCACUGCCACCUCAGUGCUCUGUUUAUCUGAGGACUUUGACAUAGGAAUACUUAUGUGCUCUUUGGUUAACAUAGCACAGACUUUGUUUCAUGUAUUAUUUGGAGGGUUUUGAGGUGAGAACCUGAUUGUGUUAACAUGCUAGCAAGGCUUCGGAAGCAUUACUGAUUGCAAGUGCAUCAGAAGCUGUGGCAUGUUUAAGACUGUGUACUUCAGCUAGACUGCAGAUUCCUCGACUAACCUGUGGUACAUAUUCAUUCCUUCCCUGUCCUUCUUUUAAAUGUCUUUUUGCAGGUCAUGUGGCAUUAUCUUUAGUUCAUGCAGGUGUACUUGAUAUUGAGCAAAUAAAGCACAGAACGUUGCCUAAGUCAGUGGUGGAUGUUUGUAGAGUUGUCUACCAAGCAAAAUGUUCGCUCAUUAAGGUGAUAUAUUUUAAUUCUUUUUAUUCUGUGCUUUGCAGACAGUUGCAGAAAUAUUUGUUGUUAAAGUUGUCUUUUCCUGGUUAACUUUGCAGACUCAUCAAGAACAGGGCCGUUCUUACAAGGAGGUCUGCACUCCUGUCAUCGAACGUUUGAGAUUCCUCUCUAAUGAAUUGAGACCUGCUGUUGGUAAUGACCUCUCUAUAAUCUCUGAGUUUAAAUUGUUAAGUUCUUUGCCCCGUUGGAGGAGGAUAGCUCAGAAGAUAAUUCGGGAACGGAGGAAAAAGAGAAGUAAGAAUGUAAAAGGACAGAAGAUACUAUUAAAGCAUGUGCUUCACCCUGCCUCGCUGGACCUGUGAUUUCAGAGUGAAGUUUCUCUACUGUUGAUUCCAUGUGACAUUUCUACCUGCUGCCAUC